CGCCCUGCCCGGGAAAACGGGGCCUCUCCUGGACAGGCUCCCCUUUGACCCGGGACUUCGGGCGCCUCCUCUCCGCCCUCGCCCUGCCCCGUGAGGCCGCGCUGGGCACCUCACCUUGAUGUUGCAGUGGAGGGUGAGCUGAGGCGGCGGGUCCUGGUUCUUGUGGAAGAUGGAGGCCAGCAACUUCAGCUUGGCCUUGAACCCUGACAAGGACAUCUUACCCUCAUCUCCGGAGGGAAGGGCGCCUAAGGAUGGCUGUGGAGAUCCAGGGAGGCAGUGGCCAUAGAGAUGCUGUAUUAACUGCAGAUGCAGCCAUAGGAGCACUUUGCUAACUGCCAAUAAUCAUUAUCGGUGUUCCCUGAGGAGCGUCAGCCAUGGUAGGUACAUGUUUUGCUGCCUACUGCAUGAAAGGUCUGCCCGCCCCGCUGCCCCAGCUCCACACGGGGGGCACACCUGGGACCUCAGAACCAGGCUCCCUGCCCCUCCCUUCUGGAGCUGCAGACUUGCUCUUUCCUCUUUCUGUCCUUGUGCUGCUGGCUGUCUCACUUCCCUCCCUGCAAGCCAUGGGACUCAGUGCCACUGCUCAAGGUCCCCAUGGCUGAGCCUGGCGGCUCUUAGAACAGGCUCCAUGCCCAAACUGGCAGACAUGGAACCAUCAGAGAGGACACAGAGCUCAUGGUUUAUGGUGUAGGGGCUGGGAACUUGGAGCGGGUUGUGUGUAGUGCUGGACUCUGAGGCCGCCAGAGGCCUAGGCACAUCAUCCUGGGCAUGCUGUACCUGUCAUGCAGUCUGAAUCAUGCUGCCAGGGCAGGUAUCCAGCUCCCAGCCUGGGAGUGCCGAGAGCCAAAUCCACUGCAGAUUAAGGGUGAUAGGAUCCCGUGUCCUCUAUCUGUCAGCAAUCCAGUGGUGAUCGAGGAUAAAAGCCUGAGAGUCCCAUACACACGGUCAUCCCACAACACACUUCACAGACCAGGCAGGGACACACAGCCCCCUUCCCUCCCUCCCAGGUACCAUCAUAGCUGCUCGUGUGGACUGAAGGCAGGGUCCCUGGCCCCCGCUGAAGCACUACCGCCGACCAGCAGGCUCACUCACCUUGGCCUGUUGCUCCUAGGGGUCGCCUGUGCUAUUCAGCCAAGGAGACCACAGUGGCUGCUGGCCCAGCCGAGCUCCGCCUAGCGAGCCCACCUGCCUGUCCUGUCAUGGACUCUUCCUCUUCUGCUUUUCUGAGCAGGAUGGGCCCAGCCUCACCUAUGCAACCUGCAGCCCCCUGCCUACCAGUUGAGGCUCCCCUCUUAGACUUAUAAGUCUAUGUCCAGUGGCAUCCAGCUACCUGUCCUCCUUGCCUUCCCCAGGGUCCCUCAGAGGACACUGGGCUUUCUGACUACCCAGAGGGGCCUCUGGCGCUCACUUCAGCCAGCCAUCCCCUUAUAGUUUCACCAUUUUGUUUCAAGCAGUGUUCCUUCUCUAUCAGGCCUGGUGGCUGUUGGGUGGGGCUCCCCAAGCAAGGGGUGGCCCUGGCCCAGUGGGUUGGAAGACAGGGUGACCAGAGAAGAGGGAAGUCCUGGGGUCUGGCAUUGGUCUGAACUGUGGGUGGACUGCCUGGGUGCCAUGAGAGAGGUCAGCGUGUGUGGGGUGGGGAGGGCCGCCACAGCCCCCGGGCACUACCUACGAAGCUCUGGCUUCUCCCUCCAUCUUCCUUCCCUUUCCCUUCCAGCCUCUCUUUUCCAGGAACCUUGCCAUGCCCACACUUACACCCUCCCCUUUCCAGCCCUCUCACAGCUGCUACGGUGCACCCAUGCUCUGCCCUUGCCUCACCAGCUCUGGCUUUUCUCUAACCUGUUUUCUCUCUGCGCUCUCUCCAAUGCCAGCUGAUUGGGUCAGGCAAGUCCAUCCCGUCCUGAGAGCCCCAGGUCCCCCUUCGACCUCUGAACAGAUCCCUCCUCUUCUCAGAGACCUCCCUUUCCAAGCCUGCCUGGGUGGGUGUCCUGUGACUUGACAGUGGCUCCCCCAGCCCCAAAGCCAGCCCCCUUCAUCUGUGACUUAGUCUGUUGUAGUGGUGAGCUGACACAUCCAGCUGUGACCAUUGCUGAAAACUUGUGCCCCCUCUGUGGUAUGCCCCUGCCCUGUUCUAUAAAUAGCAAUAAAUUCUCACACACACACACACACACACACACACACACACACACACACACACACGUGGCCAACUGCCUGGCCUCUAGCACUGGGAAUCAGUCCUCGUGCUGUCCUUGUGGAGACUUGUGGCCCAACAAGAGGAAGCUGUCUCCUGACACUGCCCCUCAAAAGGGCACCACCUCCAGGGAGCCUCCCUGUCAUGCCCGGCCUGUGGACAACCAGUCCCCGCCAUCCUUCCCACCUCCUGGGAAAGCAUGGGGGUGCUGUGCAGGCAGCUGUGUGGACUGACAGUCUUCCAGUCCUGCUGUCCCUCGGCUGAGACUCCAACUCAUUUCUGGAUGACAGAGAAUGUGUCCUCUGCUCGCUGUGCUCUCUGUGGAGCUCAGGGGAGGGAAAAGUCCAAGCCAUUUUUAGGGUGCUUUUGGGAGCGGUGAAAAGGUCACACCCUUUCCAAGGGACACUUUUCCUAGAAAGUCCCUGGAGCUUAGCUGGUUCUUAUCCUGUGAAGCCGGAUCUGGCCACUAGGGGGCAGGGCCGUGAACUCAACCUGGAGGGAGGCUGCGGGGCAGCCUGCACUCUGGAGGGACAGACAGGCCACCCGGUGCAGACAGGAGAGGGAGGCAGGGGGACAGAAUGGAAGACACCUGGGGUGGGUGAAAGUCAGUGCCCUCGGGUGCUGGUGUUGUCUUCCCGGCCACAGCUAGAUCAGUCUUCUGAACCUGUUGGCUGUCAGGGCUGCACUGUGCCCAUUAGGCACCAUGGCAGUCCCCGUGAAAUCCACCAGGUGUCACCAGGCAGCAUCCAGGCAACAGGCCUGGAAGAUUCCCAACAGCCCAACUGGGCAUGCUCAGACACUCUGGGGCUCGUCUUUCAAUGGGACAAACUGCAGGACCCACUGAGGGAAACGGGAACAUACCAGGCUGAGCAGUAUAGCUAAAUCCAUUUAUUCCCAAAUAAAAAGCAAAGAAAACAGGAGUCCCAUCACCGGGGAGCCAUGACUCCAUCCCCGCCUCCUUCCUCGCUCCUAUGCUAGCAAUAAAUAAGUUUCCCAGCUGCAAAUAACUAUCAGAACCUCUUCCUCAUGUGCCAGUUGCAACCUCCGCUAGGUACGAUACAUACAGAAUGUUACACAGAUACAGUAUAUACAUGGGGGAAGGGUGGGUCACCCCUAGCAGCCUGUGCCCUCGCCUGGUCUACAGUUAGCUCCACUGUCCCGCCUCAGAUGCCUCUCUGAAUAAGAAGAUGGGAGCGCCCCCGAGAGAAAAGUUGCCUUGGUGAGAGUAAGGAGGCCAUCGCACCUCCUACAAACAAACCAAAUCUAUCAACCUCUGGCUCUUAAAUAACAAACAUCAUCAUCCAGAAAUGUAAGGACUCAGCCUUGGUCAAGGUAGUAAAGGGUCUGUUUUUCUCUCUCCAUUAGUCAGGCGUCUUGUCUUGCUACCUAAUGGUAAAAAGGUGACUGGGAAGGGGUUGUAGGGACAUGGUGGGGUGAAGACUCCAGACCCAUUUCUCCAGACUUAUGCUGAUAGGGGCCUGCUUUUAUUUAUUUUUAUUUGCUUUUAUUUAUUUUUAUUCCAUGACUUUUUCCCGUAACUUCUUUCUCAUAACUUUUUUUAAAAAACCUUUCAUGCAACUUUUUUUUUUUUACUUUUUUUGGACUUGUUGCCACAAUUUUUCCACCAUAUUUUUUAUCCCAUAACUUUUCCAUCCCACAACUUUUAAUUCCUGUAACUUUUUUAGUUUAUGUUCUUUUAAUAAACACACUUACAUAGUUACAAUUUUGUGAGAAUAAAAACUGAUUAUCUCAUGACAAGCGUGCCCAACAUUUGCACAGUCUCAAUACCUUUAACACUAUAGUUUUCAAGACACACAAAAUUUUAAGGCAAAAACAGCACCUUGCAACAAUUUCAUAAUUUAUUACAUUAUAGUAGCAUCACAGAAGUCAAUAAUGCCACUUUAGACAAAAGUCAGUAUUUCCAUUAUACAUUCUGUUUACAAAAAAUCAUAAGUUGGUAAAAUUAUUUGCCAAGAAAACUUGGCAAAUAAAGCUUUGGACUGGAA